GACGAACGCUGGCGGCGUGCCUAAUACAUGCAAGUAGGACGAAGUCGCGUACGGGUGAGUAACGAGUAGGUAACUACCUAUUAGUGGGGGCUAACUAUUGGAGACGAUAGCUCAUACCGCAUCCUAGUAGAUGGAGCUGCGUUGUAUUAGCUCGUCGGUAGGGUAAUGGCCUACCUAGGUAACGAUACAUAGCCUGCCUGAGAGGAUGACCAGGCAAAAUGGAACUUGGGCACGGGCCAGACUCCGACGGGAGGCAGCAGUAGGGGAACAUCGGAAAUGGGGGGAACCCUGACCGAGCAACGGCGCGGGAGGUAAAAAGGGUUUCGGAUCUGUAAGGUCUGUUGAGAAGGGAGCGGUACCUAACCAGAAAGGGACGGCUAACUACGUGCCAGCAGCCGCGGUAAUUC
rnacentral:rRNA from 1 species